rnacentral:rRNA from 1 species
ACGNUCGACACCUACGGGAGCAGCAGUGGGGAAUAUUGCACAAUGGGGGAAACCCUGAUGCAGCAACGCCGCGUGAAGGAAGACGGUUUUCGGAUUGUAAACUUCUGUUCUUAGUGAAGAUAGUGACGGUAGCUAAGGAGCAAGCCACGGCUAACUACGUGCAGCAGCCGCGGUAAUCUGAGCGGGCUGGCAAGGC